AAUAAAGGGAGCUCGUGGACGGGCUGAGAGGGAAUUUUCAAUUCCGACCUUAUGACCUGAUUUGGGUAAUGCCAACGUAGGGAACGGUUGUUUU
rnacentral:ncRNA from 1 species